CCACCGGUGAACAUGCCCUCAACAGCCCUACCGGUUGAGAGGUGCUGGUAUCAGGCACAACCCCGUAGCCCAUGACACCUUGUGCAACCACACCCCCAAGGGUACUCAGCAGUGAUAAACAUUAAGCCAUGAGCGAAAGCUUGACUUAGUUAGAGCUAAGAGGGCUGGUCAAUCCCGUGCCAGCUACCGCGGUUAGACGGGCUAGAGCCCAAGUUGAUAGGCAUCGGCGUAAAGGGUGGUUAGGGGCCUUGCCCAAACUAAAGUGGAACGACUUCGCGGCCGUGAUACGUAUCGGAAGCACUGAAGACCUGUGACGAAAGUAACUUUAAUUAUACCCUGACCCCACGGAAGCUAAGAAACAAACUGGGAUUAGAUACCCCACUAUGCUUAGCCCUAAAUAAAGAUGUAAUCUACUUCACUGUCCGCCCGGGGACUACGAGCAAUAGCUUAAAACCCAAAGGACUUGGCGGUGCUCUAGACCCACCUAGAGGAGCCUGUUCUAGAACCGAUAUUCCCCGUUCAACCUCACCACUUCUUGUUCACCCCGCCUAUAUACCUCCGUUGUCAGCGUACCCCGUGAGGGCCGCAAAGUGGGCAGAAUUGGUCCCAACCCCAAAACGACAGGUCAAGGUGUAGCUCAUGAAGUGGAAUGUAAUGGGCUACAUUUUCUUCCCAAAGAAUACUACGAAAGAUAAACUGAAACGUUUAACGGAAGGAGGAUUUAGCAGUAAGCAGAAAAUAGAGCGUUCUGCUGAACACGGCUCUUGAGCGCGCACAAACCGCCCGUCACUCUCUCCAAUAACCCCUUAUAAACAUUAAAUAAAAUAUGACUUUGCUAGAGGAGAGGCAAGUCGUAACAUGGUAAGUGUACCGGAAGGUGUACUUGGCAAA
rnacentral:ncRNA from 1 species